GUAUCCUUUAGUGUUGUUUUCGCUAAAGUUUGAAACGGUAUUGUUUAGUGUUACUCUACCUUCAAGGAAAGUCCAAGGAGCAGCUAUGACAAGGUUUAAAGCUAUUGAAUGGCUUGAAAGUGUAGUUAGGCCAUUGGAGAUACCAAAACAACCAUCAAACUUUUUGAUAGGUCAAAGCUUCAUGUUUCCAACAACUAAUGGUUGUUCUAUCGUAAAGACUUCUGGAGAGCUGGGAACGACUGGAAGUUGUGGUGGCUGUGUGACCGAGGUAUAAUCGAAUUGAAGUUUGUAGAAGUAAUUUUAUACAUCAGCUUGAAAAGGCUUACCUCAAGUUAUUGUUGAAGGGGAACCGAUGGUCCGAGCAUUAAAUACCAUUGAGUAUCCUCUGUUAUGGUUGCUUCCAUAUCAACUGAGACCUACACAGUAAUUGGAGUACAAGCAUUCUAAGUUUGUUAAUCUGAUUAUUGAAGGGGAACCGAUGGUCCGACCAUUAGAAUGUGCAAGGCGUUACUUCCAGUAAAUGAAGAACAUUUGACUGAUGAAGCCAUAUGGGAGUCACUUCCUGUAA